AUUGAACGCUGGCGGCAUGCCUUACACAUGCAAGUCGAACGGUAACAGGUUAAGCUGACGAGUGGCGAACGGGUGAGUAAUAUAUCGGAACGUGCCCAGUCGUGGGGGAUAACUGCUCGAAAGAGCAGCUAAUACCGCAUACGACCUGAGGGUGAAAGCGGGGGACCGUAAGGCCUCGCGCGAUUGGAGCGGCCGAUAUCAGAUUAGGUAGUUGGUGGGGUAAAGGCCCACCAAGCCAACGAUCUGUAGCUGGUCUGAGAGGACGACCAGCCACACUGGGACUGAGACACGGCCCAGACUCCUACGGGAGGCAGCAGUGGGGAAUUUUGGACAAUGGACGCAAGUCUGAUCCAGCCAUGCCGCGUGCGGGAAGAAGGCC
rnacentral:rRNA from 1 species